AGCUACUUGGAUCUUCUUAUUUUUCAGGAAGAACUUCUGCCUGACUCUCCAAGAAUACAUGUCAGAAAGAAGAAGGAUGCCCGCAGAAGACCAGAACAUAGACAAAAAGGUUUUCUGUGAAAUUGUAUUCAGUCACUUCAGAAGACAUAAGGUGGAGAUUGCAAACGCAAUAAAAAAGCCAUUUCCUUUCCUUGAGGUUCUUCGUGACCGGGGACACAUCUCCAAUAAAAUGUAUGACGAUUCUCAAGAAUCUGCUAGAAACCUGGUCCCUGUACAAAGAGUGGUGUACAACGUUCUGAGUACACUGGAGACGACAUUUGACCUGUCACUUCUGGAAGCAUUGUUCAGUGAGGUCAACAUGCAAGAAUACCCUGACUUAAUUCAAAUUCGUAAAAGCUUUGAAAAUGCCAUCCAAGAGAAAAUUUGUUACCAAGAAAGUGAUAAUGAAGAAAGGGAGGAGAGGACUACUACCCAGCUAAGUCUUGAACAAGGCACUGGUGAAAACUCCUAUCAUAGCUUGACCUGGGCCCAGCCAGAUUCCUUGAAUAACAGUGGUACAACCUCACCUGAAAAUGGACUCUCAGAGCACCUGUCUGAAAUAGAGCAGAUAAAUGCAAGAAGAAAUACAACCAAUGGCAGCAGUGAUGCACUAGAAAGCCAACAAGCAGAUGAACGACAAGCCCAAGAGUCUGAGUCAGCAGAGUCUUGUGAACAAGUACCUAUCCAAGUGAAUAAUGGAGAUGCAAGAGAAGAGACAGCCAGCUCAUUGUCUGGUGCUGAAGAAAGAGCGAAGCUACCCAACCAUGAAAUCAAAAUAAAUUCCUGUUCUGUACUUCUGAGGGAUAUCAAGAAGGAAAAGCCAUAUUUUAAUUCAAGGAAUCAACAGCAAGCCGAAGCAAGGACUGACUGUAACCAGGCAUCUGACAUAAUAGUGAUCAGCAGUGAGGAUUCCGCAGAAUCCAGUGAUGAAGACGAGCCCUCGGAAGCCCACACCGGCGAACUAAGACGUCAGCCUGUGUUCAAUGACUUUGGCUCCUUAGAAUCAAGUGAAGCAGAAGAGACCCAAGAAGCCACCUGCUCAGGAUUGCACACUGCACUGGCGACCACGGGUGUUAGAAAAUCACCUACAUGCAGGAAAAGGCUUUGGAAAACCGACCUUCAAGGGACAUUUGCUCCUCCUGCAGUGAGAAGAUCUGAUGACUCCUCAGAGUCUAGUGCAGACGCGGUGCCCUUCAGAGCCUGGAGAUCUGAGCUGAGAAGUGGUCCUGAUAAGGAUCCUGAGGAUAUUGGAAACCAAUCUACUUGGGAGAUGAGCAAUAAGAAAAGACGAAUCAACGAUGGUGACUAUUCAGAAUUAAAUAACAGAGAAGAGCAUCAGGAAACUUCUAGCUCAGCCCUAAGACACGAGUCAGGAGCAGAGCUCCAAGAACUUGGAAUUGAGAAGUGUUCCUGUGUCAUGUGUUUUUCAAAAGGUGUGCCCAGAAGCCAAGAAGCAAGGACAGAAGGUAGCCACGCAUCUGACAUGAUGGAUGCCAUGGAUAUUGAAUACAACUCGACUUCGGAAAAACAAAGUGAGAAAAGAAGAGAAAAGAAAAGAUAUACAUGUAAAAUAAAGAGUCUCCACAAAGUGAAAAAGAAACGCAGACAUGGAAUUCAAACUUUGAAUAACAGACUCCCACAUAAAAGAGGCAAACCAAGAGGGAGAAAACCAGUCAAUGCUGGGCCUUUGAAAAGAGGCAAAAAAAGAGGUCCAAGAAUUCCCAAAGAUGAAAAUAUGGAUUUUCAACCUCCUAUACUCUCCGUGACCUGUGGUCAGGCGAAGGGGCUUUUAUAUAAGGAUAAAAUAAAACAAGGGAUCUCACAGAAGUGUAUAAGGAUGGAGAAUGGAACUCUGGUCACCCUCAAGGAGUUUGAAAUUGAAGGAAAACACGAGAAAUCCAAGAACUGGAGGCUGAGUGUGCGCUGUGGUGGAUGGCCCCUGAAGCACCUGAUUGAGAAUGGAUUUCUACCAGACCCACCAAGAACAAGAAAAAAGACAAAACCAAGGUCUCACAGUCAUGAACAUAUUGACCCUUAUCCGGAAAACUCAAAUACAUGCAAGGUAUGCCGUAAGGGAGGAACGCUAUACUGCUGUGAUACUUGUCCAAGUUCCUUUCAUGAGAAAUGCCACAUCCAGCACAUAGAUGCCAACAGGAGUCCAUGGAGCUGUAUCUUCUGCCAGAUAGAAAGUAUCCAGAAAAGUUCUCCAGAAAGUCAAGCACGUUAUCAGGAAUCUGAGGUCCUGGAGAGGCGGAUGCUGCCUAAGGAACAGUUGAAAUGUGAGUUCCUCCUCUUGAAGAUCUAUUGCUGUUCGAUAAGCAGCUAUUUUGCUUUAAAACCACAUUAUUUCUGGAGGCUGGAAGUCCAAGACCUGGUUGCCAGUAUGGUCAGAUUCCGAGCACAGAGCUAUCUCGGGCCCUGAAGAAGCCCAUGUGGUUAAACAAAAUCAGGAAAAAGCUGAUUAGGAAGUUGUACUCCCAAGUGAUGUGGUUUGUGCGGGACAUGCGCCUAAUCUUUCAGAACCACAAGGAGAUUUACAAAGACACGAAAUUUAUCAACCUGGGAAGUCAACUAGAGACCACAUUUGAAACUAAUUUCCAGAAAAUUUUUGCAAUUCAGACAAUCAG